UUAACAUUAAAGGGACUGUUUGUAAGAAUCAGAAAUGCUUGUUAACAGCGACACCUGUGGCCGUUAAGUCAACGAAAGUCAGCGUCGGGCUCGCGCUUGCUCGCUCUGCAUAGACAUGACCGAGCAACACUCAAAACAGUGAGGCGACACACGUCAGCUAAAACCACAAUAUCAGCAGCAUGAGACACCGACCC